CAAGUCGAACGAAUCCCAUCUGGGUAACUGGAUGGGGGAAGUGGCGAAAGGGGCAGUAAGGCGUGGGUAACCUACCCUGGGGACGGGGAUAGCCUUCCUAACGGAAGGGUAAUACCCGGCGAGCUGAUUGAGGGGCAUCUCUUGAUCAGGAAAGGAAUUUCGCCUUGGGAGGGGCUCACGUAGUAUUAGCUAGUUGGUAGGGUAACGGCCUACCAAGGCCAAGAUGCUUAGCAGGUGUGAGAGCACGACCUGCGCCACUGGCACUGCGACACUGGCCAGACUCCUACGGGAGGCUGCAGUCGAGGAUCUUCGGCAAUGGGCGCAAGCCUGACCGAGCGACGCCGCGUGUGCGAUGAAGGCCUUCGGGUUGUAAAGCACUGUCGAGGGGGAGGAAAGCCCGCAAGGGUUUGACUAAUCCCUGGAGGAAGCACGGGCUAAGUUCGUGCCAGCAGCCGCGGUAAGACGAACCGUGCGAACGUUGUUCGGAAUCACUGGGCUUAAAGGGCGCGUAGGCGGGCGAUCAAGUCAGGGGUGAAAUCUUUCGGCUCAACCGGAAAACAGCUUCUGAUACUGGUCGUCUUGAGUGAGGUAGGGGCAUGUGGAACUUCCGGUGGAGCGGUGAAAUGCGUAGAUAUCGGAAGGAACGCCGGUGGCGAAAGCGACGUGCUGGACCUCUUCUGACGCUGAGGCGCGAAAGCUAGGGGAGCAAACGGGAUUAGAUACCCCGGUAGUCCUAGCCCUAAACGAUGGGUACUAGAUUGUGGACUAAACAUGGGUUCACAGUCGAAGCAAAAGUGUUAAGUACCCCGCCUGGGGAGUAUGGUCGCAAGGCUGAAACUCAAAGGAAUUGACGGGGGCUC
rnacentral:rRNA from 1 species